GAUGAACGCUGGCUGUGUGCCUAAUACAUGCAUGUCGAGCGGAGUUUUGAAAGCUUGCUUUUAGAGCUCAGCGGCGAAUGGGUGAGUAACACGUACUUAACAUACCUUUUAGAUUGGGAUAACAACUGGAAACAGUUGCUAAUACCGAAUAUUUAUUAUUUUCGCAUGAAAAUAAUAUGAAAGGGGCGAUUGCCCUACUAAGAGAUUGGGGUGCGGAAUAUUAGUUAGUUGGUGAGGUAAUGGCUCACCAAGACGAUGAUAUUUAGCCGGGUUGAGAGACUAACCGGCCACACUGGGACUGAGAUACGGCCCAGA
rnacentral:rRNA from 1 species